GACGCUCAUGCCACCGNAAGCUUGGGGAGCAAACAGGAUUAGAUACCCUGGUAGUCCACGCCCUAAACGAUGUCAACUGGUUGUCGGGUCUUCAUUGACUUGGUAACCGUAGCUAACGCGUGAAGUUGACCGCCUGGGGAGUACGGUCGCAAGAUAAAACUCAAAGGAAUUGACGGGGACCCGCACAAGCGGUGGAUGAUGUGGAUAAUUCGAUGCAACGCGAAAAACCUUACCUUACCCCUUGACAUGUACCGGAAUCCUGCUGAGAGGUGGGAGUGCCCGAAAGGGAGCCGUAACACAGGUGCUGCAUGGCUGUCGUCAGCUCGUGUCGUGAGAUGUUGGGUUAAGUCCCGCAACGAGCGCAACCCUUGUCCCUAGUGCUACGCAAGAGCACUCCAGGGAGACUGCCGGUGACAAACCGGAGGAAGGUGGGGAUGACGUCAAGUCCUCAUGGCCCCNUAAGUGGUAAGGCGCUCUCACACGUCAUACAAUGGUCGGAACAGAGGGUUGCCAAGCCGCGAGGUGGAGCCAAUCCCAGAAAACCGAUCGUAGUCCGGAUCGCAGUCUGCAACUCGACUGCGUGAAGCUGGAAUCGCUAGUAAUCGCGGAUCAGCAUNCCGACGGUGAAUACGUUCCCAG
rnacentral:rRNA from 1 species